UAGCAUGGCACGGUGAUAACCAAUCCAUGCCCAGAAUAACAUCAAAAUCAACCAUGCUCAAAAGCAGCAACUCAGCUCGGGUCUCCACACCCUUUAUAGUAACAAGACAGGACCGAUACAUGUGGUCCACAAUAAUAGUAUCACCCACCCUGGUAGAUACAUGCACAUGUAACGCGAGACACCCUCGGGUAGUCCCCAAAUGAUGGAAAAGGUAAGCAGACACAUAAGAAUAUG
rnacentral:lncRNA from 1 species